CCUACGGGCGGCAGCAGUGAGGAAUAUUGGUCAAUGGACGAGAGUCUGAACCAGCCAAGUAGCGUGAAGGAUGACUGCCCUAUGGGUUGUAAACUUCUUUUAUCAAGGAAUAAAACGAGGCACGUGUGCCUUUUUGCAUGUACUUUAUGAAAAAGGCUCGGCCAACUCCGUGCCAGCAGCCGCGGUAAUACGGAGGAUCCGAGCGUUAUCCGGAUUUAUUGGGGUUAAAGGGAGCGUAGAUGGGUUUUUAAGUCAGGUGGGAAAGUUUGCGGGUCAACCGUAAAAUUGCAGUUGAUACUGGCAGUCUUGAGUACAGUUGAGGUAGGCGGAAUGCGUGGUGUAGCGGUGAAAUGCUUAGAUAUCACGAAGAACUCCGAUUGCGAAGGCAGCUUACUAAACUGCCACUGACAUUGAUGCUCGAAAGUGUGGGUAUCAAACAGGAUUAGAUACCCCAGUAGUC
rnacentral:rRNA from 1 species